GNACAGAGUUCAUCGUUGAUGAUCGGUGCUUGCACCGAGAUUCAACAUGGAACGAGUGGCGGACGGGUGAGUAACACGUGGGUAACCUGCCCUUAAGUGGGGGAUAACAUUUGGAAACAGAUGCUAAUACCGCAUAGAUCCAAGAACCGCAUGGUUCUUGGCUGAAAGAUGGCGUAAGCUAUCGCUUUUGGAUGGACCCGCGGCGUAUUAGCUAGUUGGUGAGGUAAUGGCUCACCAAGGCGAUGAUACGUAGCCGAACUGAGAGGUUGAUCGGCCACAUUGGGACUGAGACACGGCCCAAACUCCUACGGGAGGCAGCAGUAGGGAAUCUUCCACAAUGGACGCAAGUCUGAUGGAGCAACGCCGCGUGAGUGAAGAAGGCUUUCGGGUCGUAAAACUCUGUUGUUGGAGAAGAAUGGUCGGCAGAGUAACUGUUGUCGGCGUGACGGUAUCCAACCAGAAAGCCACGGCUAACUACGUGCCAGCAGCCGCGGUAAUACGUAGGUGGCAAGCGUUAUCCGGAUUUAUUGGGCGUAAAGCGAGCGCAGGCGGUUUUUUAAGUCUGAUGUGAAAGCCCUCGGCUUAACCGAGGAAGCGCAUCGGAAACUGGGAAACUUGAGUGCAAAAGAGGACAGUGGAACUCCAUGUGUAGCGGUGAAAUGCGUAAAAUAUGGAAGAACACCAUGGCUAAAUGUGGCUGUCUGGUCUGUAACUGACGCUGAGGCUCG
rnacentral:rRNA from 1 species